GAGGAGGAUGUCCCAGAUGAGUCAAACUCUACACUGAAUCAUUAAAGAGUUAGAAAGGGUGCGUGCAGCUGGAAAGGACAGUUGCUCCAGAGAUUACUUAAGAGUUCAUUCAGUGUUAUUAAGUUGAAAAUCACGAGGAUUGUUAGGAAGUAAGCUAGGCUAGGGUCAGGUUGUAGGAAACUCUGUACUACCUGGUGGAAAACUUGGACUGUGUUCUGGGUUUUAAGCAAAGGACUGGCAUGGCUGCUGUGGGGAAACGUCCAGGAGUCGAGGCGGGGAGAUUGCGGCUGUGGCAUCUGUCAUGCUGAGAGACAGUGAGUGUUGGGAUUGCAGGGUCAGGUUAGCUGUUCUUGGUUGGAAUACAUUUAAGGCUGUCUCUCUGCUUUGAUUCUAAGUCAUCAGGAGGUACUUACCAAGUACCUUCUUACCAAGUACCUUCUGAAUCUCUGAAUGGGUGAUCCAGGUCCCUAGAUACUGAAAAGUGGGUAGUAGAGACACGUUUGCUGCGGCCCGUGGGGUUAUAUCAAAUGGUGGUUAUUUAUUGAUAGUUGUCUAACAAUUUCUGAGGAAGACUAACUUUCUCUUAAUAGCAUAUACGCAGUGUGAUGGGAGAGAGAUAAGAACUGCUACUUACUAAGCAUCCACUUUGUGCAAAGCCCAGUGCUGUGGACAUUAACAUUUGAUGUAUUAGCAAGGUGGCAGUAGGGAGUCACCCUUUCAAACGUGGAUCAGUCCUAAUCAGCACAUAAUGGGAGAUAACCGCUUGUAGAAAUGAUCUGAUCUAAGAGAUGAGUUGCUUGCAUUUUCCUCCCAGCCUCAAAGUAAUAGAUAAUAAUUGAUGAAUCUACUACUUGAGCUCAGUAGAUUCAGUACAUAUCAGUUUGGUUAAGGUGAUUGUGUUGUUUCCUCAGGAUAGAAAUGGCACCAGAGGAAGUUUCAGUCUGACAGAUUAUAUUGUAACAGGCUAGUCUGAAGUAGUAGAAAGAAAAUGCCUGCCUGAAGUUUACAAAAAGUUGGAUAAGGCAAAAGGUCUCAAUCAGGAUUCAUUCAGCACGUCCAGGGAGAGGAGUGACUGUGUCGUGGAUGUGUGCAUUGCAGUCACGGGGUUUCUACGUAUCUACAGACGUAUCAGCAUGUUCUGUGGCUUGGAUUCAAUAGUCUUCCCAAUUAUUGAACACUUUUUUUUUAGCUCAAUGAAUUGUAUUAUAUUUGUAGUUGUACAACCAUCAUCAUAACCCAAUAUCACAAAAUUAUUGAACACUUUUUAAAGAAUCCGAGCUCAUCAAAUAACCUCCUUUGUAUUGGCAGAGACAGAAUGGUGUAGUGGUAAGCUGUGGGCUCUGCUUUCAGAUCCCUGGGUUGGUAUCUUGGCUCUGACCCUUUGAAGCUAAUGUAUUUCAGUUAUCUAUUGAUGCAUAACAAACUACUCCAGAUCAAAACAGUAAACUUCUCACAGUUUCUGUCGGUCAGAGAUUUAGAAGUGGCUAAGCUGGGCAGUUCCAGCUCUGGGUCUGUGGUAGUCUGCCAUCUGAAGGCUCAACUGGGGCAGAGGUUGCUCUCCCAGGGUGGCUCACUUACAGCCUCUUAUAGGCUGCCCGAGAGUCCUGAAGACAUGAGGCCUGGCUUUUCCCAAGUGAGCAGUCUGAGAGCGAGCCAGGAAGAAGGGACAGUGUCUUUCAUUCUAACCUAGGAAGCAUAUUCCAUCACUUACACCACUGGUUAGCAAAUCUGACUAGGAACCAUGAGGUUGCGGGUUCGAUCCCUGGCCUUGUUCAGUGGGUUAAGGAUCUGGUGUUGCCGUGAGCUGUGGUGUAGGCCAGUGGCUACAGCUCUGAUUGGACCCCUAGCCUGGGAACCUCCAUAUGCUGCGGUU
rnacentral:lncRNA from 1 species